rfam:Ovis aries breed Texel chromosome 1, whole genome shotgun sequence.
CCUGGUGGCUCAGAGGUUAAAGCGUCUGCCUGAAAUGCAGGAGACCCAGGUUCGAUCCCUGGGUCAGGA